GGCCAGAUCACGUAAAAUUUUAAAAGUCGAACAGACUUAAUAUUUUAGCUUCUACACCAAAAAUAAAUUUUAAUCCAACAUCGAGGUCGCAAACUUCAUUAUCGAUAAGAACUCUCCAAAGAAAUUACGCUGUUAUCCCUAAGGUAAUUUAAUCUUUUAAUCCAAAAAUCAGGAUCAAAUACUCACUUAUAAAUGUUAUAAAAACAAAAAGUUACUUAAAUUUUUCUGUCACCCCAACAAAACACUAAUAUCAACAAUAACCUAUAUAAAACCUAAAAAUUAUUGACUGAAUUAAUAUUAAACUCUAUAGGGUCUUCUCGUCUUCAUAAUAAAUUUAAGCUUUUUCACUCAAAAUUUAAAUUCCAAAACAAUUCUAUUGAGACAGUUAUUUUUUCAUCAAACCAUUCAUUCCAGCUUUCAAUUAAAAAACUAAUGAUUAUGCUACCUUUGCACAGUCAAAAUACUGCGGCCAUUCAAAUCAAUCAUCGGGCAGGUCAGACCUUAAAUCAAAAC
rnacentral:rRNA from 1 species